UGUUAUAGGGUAAAGGCAGAAGCAGGAAGUCCAGCCGGGAAGCAUCACAGCUGUCCUAGGGAGGAGGACGCGGCCUGGACCAGGGCGGCUGCGGACCGGGUCGGCUGCUGGAACAGGUGUCUUUCCUGCCUCUUACCACUUGGUGGCAGCGUGUUGACCGAAGGAGAAUUGGAUCUCGUUCCCCAGUUUCCCAGGAGCAAAUCAUGGUUCCUGGAGAGCAAGUCAUCCAGUGCAUAGGAUUUAUCCAGAAGGCUGCGCAUCGGCAGUAGCCACGGGUCUGUGUCUGCAAGAGCAGCGCAUCCGGGUGCUGAGUGCUGUGGUUCCAGGGCUCCCUGAGUCUGGGGGAGUUCGCAGCAGAGGUGAUGUCUACGCUGAGCGGGGAUUUUCUGCAAUCACAUCAUUUGUGAACAAAGAAGUUUUAUUUCUUCCUUCCCAAUAUGUAUACUGGUGAUUUCCUUUUCCGGUCUUUUUGCUCUAGCGGGGACUCCCAGUUUGAGGCCUGAUGGGGUGGUGGGAGGGGACGUUCCUGCCUCUUCCUGAUCAUGGCUCCCUUCAGUUCUGCCUGCUGGGCCCUGAGUUGCUCUGGGAACCGCUGAGCACUGGCUCUGUAAGCCUCGGGCCCCCAUACCACUUUCCUGCGGGCCCUGCCCUGCCUGCCUGCCUGCCUCCAGGCCCCACAGCCCUGUGGAGCCGCCCAGUUGAGCAGUCCUGCCCCCUCCCUGCCACGCCCCCUCGGGGGUCCUCACUGCUCCCAGAUGAAAGCCCCUGUUGUCCCCAGAGGCUCUGUCUCCUUGGGGGACGUUCACCAGCUGCCUCUCAAAGGACCAUCUGAGACCAGACACUUCCGUGGCCUACGGCUUCCUCAAGGACUCUACAAGACACAGAAAUCCCUGCUGUCUCCACUGAAAAGAAAGGGAGUCCGUGACCAGGCCCCCCGCCGUGCUGGGCUGAGUGGACGGCACGGGAGACGGCCCACGGGAGACGGCCCACGGGAGAUGACCCACGGGAGACGACCCACGGACCAUUCUCGCUUUGCCUCCAGUGUCGCUCAAAGGGGACCUGCAUGAAGGAGACGUGGGGCUUUGGAGGUGCGGGAUUUCUUCUUACCUCUGUUCCCACUACUUACCUUCAGAAUAAAUCUCUAAGUCCGGUAUUAGCAAAUUCUUCACAGAUGUAGGCCACACAAAGCACCCUCAUUGUCUGUCAUAAAUAUAAUAUCUU